rnacentral:rRNA from 1 species
UACAGAGGGUGCAAACGUUGCUCGGAAUUAUUGGGCGUAAAGCGCGUGUAGGCGGUCUGUUAAGUCGGUUGUGAAAACCCAUGGCUCAACCAUGGAAGUGCGUCCGAGACUGGCAGACUUGAGUUCUGGAGAGGAUGGCGGAAUUCCCGGUGUAGAGGUGAAAUUCGUAGAUAUCGGGAGGAACAUCGGUGGCGAAGGCGGCCAUCUGGAAAGAUACUGACGCUGAGACGCGAAAGCGUGGGGAGCAAACAGG